GACGAACGCUGGCGGCGUGCUUAACACAUGCAAGUCGAACGGAAAGGCCCUGCUUUUGUGGGGUGCUCGAGUGGCGAACGGGUGAGUAACACGUGAGUAACCUGCCCUUGACUUUGGGAUAACUUCAGGAAACUGGGGCUAAUACCGGAUAGGAGCUCCUGCUGCAUGGUGGGGGUUGGAAAGUUUCGGCGGUUGGGGAUGGACUCGCGGCUUAUCAGCUUGUUGGUGGGGUAGUGGCUUACCAAGGCUUUGACGGGUAGCCGGCCUGAGAGGGUGACCGGCCACAUUGGGACUGAGAUACGGCCCAGACUCCUACGGGAGGCAGCAGUGGGGAAUAUUGCACAAUGGGCGGAAGCCUGAUGCAGCAACGCCGCGUGCGGGAUGACGGCCUUCGGGUUGUAAACCGCUUUCACCUGUGACGAAGCGUGAGUGACGGUAAUGGGUAAAGAAGCACCGGCUAACUACGUGCCAGCAGCCGCGGUGAUACGUAGGGUGCGAGCGUUGUCCGGAUUUAUUGGGCGUAAAGGGCUCGUAGGUGGUUGAUCGCGUCGGAAGUGUAAUCUUGGGGCUUAACCCUGAGCGUGCUUUCGAUACGGGUUGACUUGAGGAAGGUAGGGGAGAAUGGAAUUCCUGGUGGAGCGGUGGAAUGCGCAGAUAUCAGGAGGAACACCAGUGGCGAAGGCGGUUCUCUGGGCCUUUCCUGACGCUGAGGAGCGAAAGCGUGGGGAGCGAACAGGCUUAGAUACCCUGGUAGUCCACGCUGUAAACGGUGGGUACUAGGUGUGGGGUCCAUUCCACGGGUUCCGUGCCGUAGCUAACGCUUUAAGUACCCCGCCUGGGGAGUACGGCCGCAAGGCUAAAACUCAAAGGAAUUGACGGGGCCCCGCACAAGCGGCGGAGCAUGCGGAUUAAUUCGAUGCAACGCGUAGAACCUUACCUGGGUUUGACAUGGAUCGGGAGCGCUCAGAGAUGGGUGUGCCUCUUUUGGGGUCGGUUCACAGGUGGUGCAUGGCUGUCGUCAGCUCGUGUCGUGAGAUGUUGGGUUUAGUCCCGCAACGAGCGCAACCCUUGUUCACUGUUGCCAGCACGUUAUGGUGGGGACUCAGUGGAGACCGCCGGGGUCAACUCGGAGGAAGGUGGGGAUGACGUCAAGUCAUCAUGCCCCUUAUGUCCAGGGCUUCACGCAUACUACAAUGGCUGGUACAGAGAGUGGCGAGCCUGUGAGGGUGAGCGAAUCUCGGAAAGCCGGUCUCAGUUCGGAUUGGGGUCUGCAACUCGACCUCAUGAAGUCGGAGUCGCUAGUAAUCGCAGAUCAGCAACGCUGCGGUGAAUACGUUCCCGGGGCU
rnacentral:rRNA from 1 species